ensembl:lncRNA
CUCGAGAAGGAGCUCAAAUGUCCCUGCAGCCUGCUUCUGCGGAUGCCCCAAGAGGAUGGUCCUGGACGGCAGUGAUGGGGGCCACAAGGAAGCAAUUGAGGUUGGCGUGGCCAGGCCCCCACAUGGGUCCAGGUGGGUUGUAGGCCGUGGAAAUCCAGCAUUGCCUCUAACUGACCGGUGGAGUAAGCGUUCACACAGGGAUUCGGUUCCAAAGUCAGUGCAUGGAGCAGCGUUCACACAGCCAGAGAAGUACUCUCAAAAAUCUCCCAAGUCUCCCUUGAGGUAAAGCGUAUACUACUUUAUUUAGUCGCAGAUGUGAAGAAAUGGAUAAGAUAUUUCGGGGCUGUUACAUGUUUAAGAAAUGAUUUUCAAGAAUCAUACUGUGGCAGAGUCUGGCUGGAUGUUCACAAAUUCCAUUUAUCUUCUUUAGGGACUCACAGAAAGACUCCACUUCCUAACUUUGUGCAGUUAAGUUUGGGCCAGUGAAAUAUACACAGGAGUGAGCUAAGUCCUUGAUAGGGUUGGACCUUAAUUACAUCCCUCAUCCUCUAGUCCAGAAAUCAGUCCUCUAUGGACUGACUCACUGCCUCUUUUUGUAAAAUAAGGCUUUAUUGGAACAUAGAUUCCUUUACUUACAUGUCGCCUCUGGCUGCUUCUGUGCUACAACAGCAGAGGUGAGAAGUUGUGACAGAGACCAUGUGGCCUGUAAAACCUAUUUACUGAAGGUUUGCUGAUCCCUGCUCUAGUCCCCUUGUGGUGGAGGCUGUGAUGAGUGAGCCCCCCAGAUCCCCCUUUAGCAAUGAAAAACUUAAUUCCUCAGCCGCUGGGAGUACUCCUGGAAGAUGGUCCACACCUGCAUCCAGGGACUGAGAAACACAGAGGUUGACCAGUAUAACCAGCUUUCGGAC